GUCCGAAAAUACUUGUCAUCAAAAUGGAUAAAAGGGGAUGUAUCUAGAACUAAAAUACGUCUAGAUACGUCCCCUUUUGUUCAUUUUGAUGACAAGUAUUUCCGGAC
rnacentral:pre_miRNA from 1 species